GAGUUUGAUCCUGGCUCAGAUUGAACGCUGGCGGCAUGCCUUACACAUGCAAGUCGAACGGCAGCAUGAUCUAGCUCGCUAGAUUGAUGGCGAGUGGCGAACGGGUGAGUAAUACAUCGGAACGUGCCCUGUAGUGGGGGAUAACUAGUCGAAAGAUUAGCUAAUACCGCAUACGACCUGAGGGUGAAAGUGGGGGACCGCAAGGCCUCAUGCUAUAGGAGCGGCCGAUGUCUGAUUAGCUAGUUGGUGGGGUAAAGGCCCACCAAGGCGACGAUCAGUAGCUGGUCUGAGAGGACGAUCAGCCACACUGGGACUGAGACACGGCCCAGACACCUACGGGAGGCAGCAGUGGGGAAUUUUGGACAAUGGGCGAAAGCCUGAUCCAGCAAUGCCGCGUGUGUGAAGAAGGCCUCGG
rnacentral:rRNA from 1 species